rnacentral:rRNA from 1 species
UACGUAGGGUGCAAGCGUUGUCCGGAAUUAUUGGGCGUAAAGAGCUCGUAGGCGGUUUGUCGCGUCUGCUGUGAAAUCCCGAGGCUCAACCUCGGGCCUGCAGUGGGUACGGGCAGACUAGAGUGCGGUAGGGGAGAUUGGAAUUCCUGGUGUAGCGGUGGAAUGCGCAGAUAUCAGGAGGAACACCGAUGGCGAAAGCAGCUCUCUGGGACGGUACUGACGCUGAGACGCGAAAGCGUGGGGAGCGAACAGG